rnacentral:tRNA from 1 species
GGGCGAUUAGCUCAGUUGGUUAGAGCGUCUGACUUACAUUCAGAAGGUCAGGGGUUCAAGUCCUCUAUCGCCCACCA